UGUGCCAGCAGCCGCGGUAAUACGAACCGUCCAAACGUUAUUCGGAAUCACUGGGCUUAAAGGGUUUGUAGGCGGCGCUGUUAGUCGGGUGUGAAAGCCCUCGGCUCAACCGAGGAAUUGCGCCCGAUACUGCAGUGCUUGAGGGAGACAGAGGUAAGCGGAACUGAUGGUGGAGCGGUGAAAUGCGUUGAUAUCAUCAGGAACACCGGUGGCGAAAGCGGCUUACUGGGUCUCUUCUGACGCUGAGAAACGAAAGCUAGGGGAGCGAAGGGGAUUAGAUACCCCCGUAGUCCUAGCUGUAAACGUUGAGCACUUGAUCGUGGACCCCCCCAUAGGUUCUCGGUCGUAGCGAAAGUGUUAAGUGCUCCGCCUGGGGAGUAUGGUCGCAAGGCUGAAACUCAAAGAAAUUGACGGG
rnacentral:rRNA from 1 species